CACGUAGGGUGCGAGCGUUGUCCGGAAUUACUGGGCGUAAAGGGCGCGUAGGCGGCCUCCUAAGUCGAACGUGAAAUCCCCGGGCUCAACCCGGGAACUGCGUCCGAUACUGGAAGGCUUGAAUCCGGGAGAGGGAUGUGGAAUUCCAGGUGUAGCGGUGAAAUGCGUAGAUAUCUGGAGGAACACCGGCGGCGAAGGCGACAUCCUGGACCGGUAUUGACGCUGAGGCGCGAAAGCCAGGGGAGCAAACGGG
rnacentral:rRNA from 1 species